CUUGGUCAUUUAGAGGAAGUAAAAGUCGUAACAAGGUUUCCGUAGGUGAACCUGCGGAAGGAUCAUUAACAAAUCCGUGCGGGCGCAUGCGUCCGACACACGUGCCGCGUGCUCUGCGCGCGCGUUACAUUGCAUGAUUUCUGACUGAUCUGCGCGAAACGAAACAACUUUUAACAAUGGAUCUCUAGGCUCUUGCAUCGAUGAAGAACGCAGCAAAGUGCGAAACGUAGUGCGAUUUGCAUGCCCUGUGAGUCAUCGAGUCUUUGAACGCAUAUGGCGCCUCCAGGCCCUGCCCGGAGGCAUGUCUGUUUGAGAAUCAUUCCGCACCACAAUUGGGCCUACACCAGUGUUUGCCCGAAAGCCAGCCGCGCCGUCGUGGGUUAAGUGUGCAUAGCGCUGCUGGACGACGUGACGGCGCAACCCCGUUGAUUGAUGGUCUCAAAUCAGACAAGAGUACCCGCCGAACUUAAGCAUAUCAAUAAGCGGAGG
rnacentral:rRNA from 1 species